rnacentral:Y_RNA from 1 species
UGCUAGUCCAAUGACAGGGGGUUAUCAGAACUUUUAACAUUAGUGUCACUAAAGUUGGCAUACAACCUCCCACUACUGAAUUUGACUGGCUUUAA